AGGACGAACGCUGGCGGCGUGCCUAACACAUGCAAGUCGAACGGGGAUUUGUUUCGGCAGAAUCCUAGUGGCGAACGGGUGAGUAACGCGUAGGCAACCUGCCCUCCGGCCGGGGACAACACUCCGAAAGGGGUGCUAAUACCGGAUACGAAGUCUGUGCCGCAUGGUACGGAUUUGAAAGAUGGCCUCUGUUUACAAGCUAUCGCCGGGGGAUGGGCCUGCGUCCGAUUAGCUGGUUGGUGGGGUAACGGCCUACCAAGGCGACGAUCGGUAGCCGGUCUGAGAGGAUGAACGGCCACAUUGGGACUGAGACACGGCCCAGACUCCUACGGGAGGCAGCAGUGGGGAAUCUUCCGCAAUGGGCGCAAGCCUGACGGAGCAACGCCGCGUGAGUGAGGAAGUUCUUCGGAACGUAAAGCUCUGUUGUUCCUGACGAACCUCCCCUUUAUCAACAACGGAGGGGACUGACGGUAGGGAACGAGGAAGCCACGGCUAACUACGUGCCAGCCGCCGC
rnacentral:rRNA from 1 species